CUGAGCUCCGGUCCCGCUCAAUUCACAGAAAGCGUCACACAUUUCUCCUUGCCCUGCUCCACUUUUUUACCGAAGAUUGAUGAUAUGCUUCAGAAUUUAAAGCAGGAGGUGGCCAACCAAGAUUCCAAGAACCGGAUGCCCCUCUCAGAGGUAUAACAAGUAGGAUACAUGAAGCGAAGUGGAGCUGAAAUGGGAUACAAGUAUUCGUUGAAGCAGAACUGUCUUGAUAUAAAAAACUUGCCACUUUGAGAAUGGAAGCCUUUAUAGCCUUCGAAAUUUUUUGAAUAAUCUAUAAAGACACACUGCACACUUCUUUGAUCUAGUUUGCUUUGAUGUGAGGGAGAAAACCAAGGAAAGCAUUGACAUCCAUAUGCCUGAAUAUGUUUAUAAUCAGGUGGAUAUUUGUGUAGGACUUGAGAGGUUAUUAGUUUAGAGUGUUUUAAGAGGAGAUACAGUUGAUUAAGUGGACAAAUGUUAGUUUGGUGUCUGGCAAGGUAUUUAGUGGCAAGUUAGAUGCAACACAUAGGGUUUUCACAGUUUCUAGGAUAUUUUGAUAUUUUUUUCUGCUAUGUCUUUUUUUUUUUGGGUGUGUAAUGGUAAAAGAAAUAAUAAAUAAUGCCAUGUGCAGCCACAACUUAUCAAAUUGUUAGCUCCUGAAUUCCC